GUAGGGUGCGAGCGUUAAUCGGAAUUACUGGGCGUAAAGCGUGCGCAGGCGGUUUUAUAAGCCAGAUGUGAAAGCCCCGGGCUCAACCUGGGAACGGCAUUUGGGACUGUAAAGCUGGAGUAUGGCAGAGGAGACUAGAAUUCCUGGUGUAGCAGUGAAAUGCGUAGAUAUCAGGAGGAAUACCGAUGGCGAAGGCAGGUCUCUGGGCCAAUACUGACGCUCAUGCACGAAAGCGUGGGGAGCAAACAGGAUUAGAUACCCUGGUAGUCCACGCCCUAAACGAUGUCAACUGGUUGUUGGGGGAUUUAUUCUCUUAGUAACGAAGCUAACGCGUGAAGUUGACCGCCUGGGGAGUACGGUCGCAAGAUUA
rnacentral:rRNA from 1 species